GUAUAUAUCAAAUUGAAGCUAUUGAAAAACGCUAUUUGGUGUAGAAAUUUCAAGACUUUAGCUAAAAGGGAAAUAUUGAAAAACUACAAACAUAAUUACCGAUAAUUUGCCGUUUUGCAGUUGUUUUUGUAUUUUUUAAGUGUUUUUCUUUUCGCUGAAGUCUUGAAAUUUCCACACCGAAUAGCAAUUUUCAAUAGCUUCAAUUUGAUAUAUAGCCCGACGUUUGGGGUCAAGUGUUUCUGCUCAUAACUCAGAAAAACUAUUUUGGCUUCAUCAAAUCAUAGGCCUUCAUCAUAGCAGUUAGCCUUCCAGUUUAUUUAUAGUUCAAUGGUUGAU